rnacentral:rRNA from 1 species
CUUAGUAACUGCGAGUGAACAGGGAUAAGCCCAGCACCGAAGCCUGUGGUCAUUUGAUCAUUAGGCAAUGUGGUGUUUAGGUUAUCUCGCAGAGGCACUGCUCCACCCUAAGUCCAAAAAUGAGUACGGUUUUACGGACAUGGCCCAAAGAGGGUGAAAGGCCCGUGGGGGUGGAGAUUCGGUAUGUCAGUGCUUCUCUGAGCAAACCUUUGAGUCGGGUUGUUUGAGAUUGCAGCCCAAAGUGGGUGGUAAACUCCAUCCAAGGCUAAAUACUUGCACGAGUCCGAUAGCGAACAAGUACCGUGAGGGAACGUUGAAAAGUACUUUGAAGAGAGAGUAAACAGUGCGUGAAACCGCUCAGAGGUAAACGGGUGGAGUUGAACUGCGAACCCCGAGAAUUCAACUGGUGAGUGUGGUAUGAGCUUGGCAUGAUGGUUGGCUCUGCGGGUCUGCUUAGCUGCAGGUCUUCACCUUUUGGUGUGGAUGCGCGAUACACUUGUCAAGUGGUGCGCGCUCGUUGAGUUACUCGGACAUGCUUGCCAGUGCACUUUCUCGGGGUGUUCACCACGACCGGCGCCGCUACUUGGCUAAUAUGGUUAAACCGUUCUUGCUUGGUCCUUGUGGCUUUGCUUGAUCGGGAUGGCAGGUAGCUCGUUAGCUUGUGUGUUGGCCUCGGCUGGCAUGCGCUUGGUUUUCGAGUGUAAUCAGCUGACUGUAUUGGUGCUAUGUGGUGCGUCGGAGACGGCGGCUUGUGGUGUGUGCCUGCGUGCCUAUUCGCUGACGGGACUGGGUUCGGUUAUUUUGUUGCCUGUUCUGCAGGCCUGGUGAUAGCCCGGUUUCGCUUGGUGGAUGGGGGCGUGUGUGACACUUAUCAGGGCCUAUAGUCUGUGGUGUUGUGGUAGACUAUCCACCUGACCCGUCUUGAAACACGGACCAAGGAGAGUAACAUGUGCGCGAGUCAUUGGGCGUUACGAAACCCAAAGGCGAAGUGAAAGUAAAGACUUGACUUGUUCGAGUUGAGGUGAGAUCCUGUCGUUUCUCAUGCGCGGUACUUCCAAGCAUUCGAGCGAUGGGCGCAUCACCGGCCCGUCCCAUGGUGUGGUCGCUUUUUUCGGAUUGUGCGUCACCGGGGCGGAGCAUGAGCGUACAUGUUGAGACCCGAAAGAUGGUGAACUAUGCUUGCGCAGGUUGAAGCCAGAGGAAACUCUGGUGGAGGACCGCAGCGAUUCUGACGUGCAAAUCGAUCGUCAAACGUGAGUAUAGGGGCGAAAGACUAAUCGA